AACGCACAUUGCGCCCGCCAGUAUUCUGGCGGGCAUGCCUGUUCGAGCGUCAUUUCAACCCUCAGACUCAAUUCGUUAGAAGGACAGUCUGGUGUUGGGGAUCGGCAGCUUCGCCGUCCCCUAAAAGUAUUGGCGGCCCUUCGAGGCGACCUCUGCGUAGUAACUUACCUCGCACUGGGAAGCUUGGAGCGGCCACGCCGUAAAACCCCCGACUUUACAAGGUUGACCUCGAAUCAGGUAGGACUACCCGCUGAACUUAA
rnacentral:misc_RNA from 1 species